rnacentral:rRNA from 1 species
UACGUAGGGGGCAAGCGUUGUCCGGAUUUAUUGGGCGUAAAGCGCCCGCAGGCGGUGCAACAAGUUGCGAGUGACAGGUGGUGGCUUAACUGCCACAGGGCUUGGAAAACUGUUGCACUUGAGGGCUUGAGAGGGACGCGGAAUUCCAGGUGGAGCGGUGAAAUGCGUAGAUAUCGCUUGGAACGCCGAAGGUGAAAACAGGCUGCUGGGGUUGCGCCGACGCUGAGACACGAAAGCCAGGGGAGCAAACGGG